rnacentral:rRNA from 1 species
GCGAAAACUUUACAAUGCGGGAAACCGUGAUAGGGGAACUCCGAGUGCCCGUUAAAUCGGGCUGUCCACCAGUUUAAAUAACUGGUGAAGAAAGGGCCGGGCAAGACCGGUGCCAGCCGCCGCGGUAAUACCGGCGGCUCGAGUGGUGGCCACUAUUACUGGGCUUAAAGCGUUCGUAGCUGGUUUGUUAAGUCUCUGGGGAAAUCUUCCGGCUUAACCGGAAGGCGUCUCAGGGAUACUGGCAGACUAGGGACCGGAAGAGGUGAGAGGUACUUCAGGGGUAGGAGUGAAAUCCUGUAAUCCUUGAGGGACCACCAGUGGCGAAGGCGUCUCACCAGGACGGACCUGACGGCAAGGGACGAAAGCUAGGGGCACGAACC